AUGGUUUCUCCUUCUCCUUGCCCGGUGGCUGUGGGUGGUGGAAUUCUGGUUGUGCUGGUCCAGCUUUUUAGUGGCUGGAAGCUUUGCAUCGCUGUCAUGAAUGCCUCUCAUGCAAAACCACCGCAGGUGCCCAGAGCAGCUGUGGUGUCCCUGCACCCCUGGCAGUGCCCAAGGCCAGGCUGGACAGGAUUUGGAGCAGCCUGGGACAGUGGGAGGUGUCCCUGCCAUGGCACGGGUGGCACUGGGUGGUGGGCUUUAAGGUCCCUCCCAACCCAUGAUUCCCCAAUUCAAAUCAGGCUAAACAUUCAAGCCCAAAGUGUUUUUCUUUUCUUUUUCCACAAAUUCCUGAAGCCAGGUGGAUCACGUCCCAUUUCUGUUUCCCCUUCCAUGCAAGAUCUGGAGCUGUUUCUCUUCCACAUCACUGCAGAAAAAGCCAAGCGCAGACAAGCUGAGCCUUCAGAAAUGUCACAAAGCUGGUUGUGGUUUGAUGGGAGGGAGCAGCUCAUCCCUGAGCCAAACUCGAGGCAGCUGCAGGAGAUUCACAAGUUAUUCAGCCAACGUGGAAUCAGCCCCGAUAAGAAACAUCGAGUUACUGGAGCAGGAUUUCUCUGUGUAAAUUGAAAUCAGGACUGUGUAAAGCUAAACUUUUGUCAUGAAGCUGCAGAGCUGGCACUUGUAUUCUUCCAGGAUAAAUUGGCAGCAUCUACUGAGAAGAGCCUUGGAACAGUGCUUUGACUGCAGUAGCUGCUUUUAGAGUAACAGCAAAAGGAGGUAAUCUGUUCUUCAAAAUCCUAAAAUGAUACUAAUUUACAGAGCAAGAGAAUGAACUGCACCAUGCUCUGCUUAGGGAACUGCUCCACAAAACUGAAUUUCUACUCUAGAGCUGCUUUACUUUGAUAAUUGACCAUCUGGAGGAAUUUUGUUAAUUGUUCCUCUCUCUUCCCCUGCCUUUAAUUCCAAUGUUCCCUCUCUAGCCCAGGGGAAUGAAGCCAAAGGGUUUUCAUUUCAAGUUUGAAAAGCUGGUCAGCUUUCAUUAGGGCCUCCGUCACUUUAAAUCAGCUCUUCCCAAAAAACAAUUGAAAAUAAUUACCUGAGCUUCUCCUGGGCUUCAGGGUCAGCAGAAAGGUGAUCAACUGAAGACAGACCAAAAGACACUGCUCCUGUCAAAGCCUGGACACUUCCCAAGGUCUGAGCCAAGGAAAUAACAGCGAGUUUCAUAAUCCCUGUCCGUGCCAGUUAAGAACCCACACAAAAACUCUUGCAAGUUUUAUAUGUGAUUUCCAAGUGUCCUUCAUGCUGCUGCUUCUUCUGGCUUUGUCCUGGCUCUUAGAAUCACAGAAUCAUGGGAUAAUUAAAUUUGGAAAAUAUCUCUAAGGUCAUCGAGUCCUGUUGUGGUGUGUUUUGCUUUGAAUCCAAGUUCGCUUCCUGUUCUCUCUAAUCCCCUCCCUUCCCCACUGGCCAAUUUUCCCAAGCCCUUCCCUAACCUCCUCCCUUCCAAGUUGUCAAUCCUCCCUAUCCCUACCCCUUUCUCCAUAGAAUUCUGUGUCUGUCUUGUUGCCCUCGACACCCCAUUUGUUCCUUUGUAUUAUUCCCCCCUCCCAUUUUCCCUGGUGGGCUCAUGAGCCAUUUGCCCACCUUAUACUCCUCUCUUACCAUAUCCUCACUGGUUCACUUUCCUACACGCCUCCUCCUGACUUGCUGGGUAAAAAUUUCUGUUCACCCCACCCGCAGUCCUGUCUGGGAGCCCAGGAAUA
ensembl:lncRNA